UACGGAGGGGGCUAGCGUUGUUCGGAAUUACUGGGCGUAAAGCGCACGUAGGCGGACUGUUAAGUCGGGGGUGAAAUCCUGGGGCUCAGCCUCAGAAUUGCCUCCGAUACUGGCAGUCUCGAGUGCGGGAGAGGUGAGUGGAAUUCCCAGUGUAGAGGUGAAAUUCGUAGAUAUUGGGAAGAACACCAGUGGCGAAGGCGGCUCACUGGCCCGUAACUGACGCUGAGGUGCGAAAGCGUGGGGAGCAAACAGG
rnacentral:rRNA from 1 species